rnacentral:misc_RNA from 1 species
AACAAGGCGUACCUGCGGACCUGCGGAGGGAUCAUUACAGAGUUGCAAAACUCCCCAAACCAUUGUGAACCUUACCUCUAACCGUUGCUUCGGCGGGCGGGGCCACAGCGCCCCCCCGGGCCCACCAGCGGGGCCGCCCGCCGGAGGAUACCCAAACUCUUGAUACUGUAUGGCCUCUCUGAGUCUUUUGUACUGAAUAAGUCAAAACUUUCAGCAAUGGAUCUCAGAUCGGAAGAGCAC